CUCGUCCCCGCGUAUGUAACUCCAGCGGCUCUUUACUUGCCCAGUGUUUGGUAUUUUGUUUUGCUCUGAAAUAAUUUUUUAUCCCAGAGAAUAUGAUACAUCGAAUACAGAACAAGAUUCAGUCCAGUGUUACAGCCACAGUGAUGCAUCAUCUCAGGUCUUAAAAACCACGGCUGUUUCUGCCUUUGGAGGGGAGCAGCAGGCUUCUGCCAGGAUGGGAGAUCUCCCGGUGUUGGUGUGUUUGGACUGGGGUCUGAGACCGUGGAUUUACUUGGGUGGAGCAGAGAGGACGCUGGUAGAGAAGAGGAAGGAAGACGGAGGCAGCGGGGGACCCCAGCCGUGCACCCCAGGCAUGCGAUACAUACCCAACAGAGGAGCGGGACUUUUGGCCUCAGGGUGAAAGAGUUACUUCACCUGCAGGGGCCCCUAGGCCUCCACACCCUGGGUGAUCCUGCCCCACUGACUAACCAAUAGCACGAUGCAGACUCGGCGCUGGGAGAUGUCCCAGGUGUAUCUGAAGACACUGCGGCUUCUGCCUUCACCCCUCUGAUCACUCAUUCUGGAAGGAGGUGUCAGUCUUGUGGAUGGAUGCAGAACCCUGUGAAGGCCUCCUGCCAGGAGGGACCAGCUUGCCCACCACGUGAGCCAGCGACCUGGAUGUGGCCUCCGGAUGACUGCAGUCCCAACCAACACCUGAUGCAAUCUCUGGAGCAGCUCUGAACCAGAACCACUGGCUUAGCUGGGCCUGAAUUCUGAUCCAUAGAAACCAUGUGAGAUAAUAAA